AACGGCCAUACCAUGCUGAAUAUAUCGGUUCUUGUUCGAUCACCGAAGUCAAGCAUCAUCGGGCACGGUCAGUACUUGGGAGGGUGACCACCUGGGAACACCGCGUGCCGUU
rnacentral:rRNA from 1 species